rnacentral:rRNA from 1 species
UACGGAGGGAGCUAGCGUUGUUCGGAAUUACUGGGCGUAAAGCGCACGUAGGCGGCUUUGUAAGUUAGAGGUGAAAGCCCGGGGCUCAACCCCGGAAUUGCCUUUAAGACUGCAUCGCUUGAAUCCGGGAGAGGUGAGUGGAAUUCCGAGUGUAGAGGUGAAAUUCGUAGAUAUUCGGAAGAACACCAGUGGCGAAGGCGGCUCACUGGCCCGAUACUGACGCUGAGGUGCGAAAGCGUGGGGAGCAAACAGG